AUUUUAUUUUAUGCUAAACUUUGGCCCAGGCAAUAAUUUAGAUGCUGCUUAGUGGCUGAUCCUGAUCAUCUGAACAGGGAUACAGCAAAUUAUGGUUGCCAAGACUCGUCUGCCGAUCCUACCAUGAACAGGAUUGGAGGCACUUCCUUGCGUUGGUUUGCAUGUCUAAUUAUUUAUCUUAUAUGGUGGACAUGAUAGCAUGGUGACCUUGUCUGUUUUUCUGCAGAUCAGGUGCCCAUUUAUAGUUUUAAUCAGAUCAAACAGGUACAAGUAAAGGAAGGCAUCGCUCAUCAAGGGACACAAGGAGAUGAGUGAAUUCAGCUUCAGCAUCUGCCAAUGCUUGAUGCAGGCGUGCUCUUGAAAUAUUUGCACUAUCUACUUUUCGCCUAUAGACGUCUAGACACUCUUGCUCCAGUUCCAUGAGAGCCUUCUCCCUUUCAAAUUCAUGUUGACCAACUUCAUCCCAGAUUAGCUGUUACUAGGUGAAUUUUGAGG